rnacentral:lncRNA from 1 species
UGAAAUGAUAACAAACUUGGUUGCUUUCUUCUUGACUCUUAGAGCCUCAUUUUCCUGCCCCGGAAGUUGGUCUUCCUUUAGGUAUCGAAUAAUAUCUCCCAUCCAUGACUCCAACUCUUCUGUUACGAACAAGAGCUCUUCUUGAUCUAUACUUGGACGUGCCAAAGUCUCUUGGAUCACUGAUCUGUUACUCCCUGGUCGUUU